rnacentral:tRNA from 2 species
GAUCUCGUAGCAUAAUUGGAUAGUGCAUCUGACUACGAAUCAGAAGGUUGGGGGUUCGAGUCCCUCCGGGAUCACUA